UACGUAGGGGGCAAGCGUUGUCCGGAUUUAUUGGGCGUAAAGAGCGUGUAGGCGGUCUUUUAAGUCGGGGGUGAAAUCCUGGAGCUCAACUCCAGAACUGCCUUCGAUACUGGAAGACUCGAGUCCGGGAGAGGUGAGUGGAACUGCGAGUGUAGAGGUGAAAUUCGUAGAUAUUCGCAAGAACACCAGUGGCGAAGGCGGCUCACUGGCCCGGUACUGACGCUGAGGCACGAAAGCGUGGGGAGCAAACAGG
rnacentral:rRNA from 1 species